rnacentral:rRNA from 1 species
GACGAACGCUGGCGGCGUGCUUAACACAUGCAAGUCGAGCGGUAAGGCCCUUUCGGGGGUACACGAGCGGCGAACGGGUGAGUAACACGUGGGUGACCUGCCCUCAGCUCUGGGAUAAGCCUGGGAAACUGGGUCUAAUACCGGAUAUGACUCCAUGACGCAUGUUGUGGGGUGGAAAGCCUUGUGCGGCUGGGGGAUGGGCCCGCGGCCUAUCAGCUUGUUGGUGGGGUGANGGCCUACCAAGGCGACGACGGGUAGCCGGCCUGAGAGGGCGACCGGCCACACUGGGACUGAGACACGGCCCAGACUCCUACGGGAGGCAGCAGUGGGGAAUCUUGCGCAAUGGGCGAAAGCCUGACGCAGCGACGCCGCGUGAGGGAUGACGGCCU